UAAAGAAUUUCGGUAUGGGAUGGGGAUGCGUUCCAUUAGUUAGUUGGCGGGGUAACGGCCCACCAAGACAACGAUGGAUAGGGGUUCUGAGAGGAAGGUCCCCCACAUUGGAACUGAGACACGGUCCAAACUCCUACGGGAGGCAGCAGUGAGGAAUAUUGGUCAAUGGACGAGAGUCUGAACCAGCCAAGUAGCGUGAAGGAUGACUGCCCUAUGGGUUGUAAACUUCUUUUAUAUGGGAAUAAAAUGUUCCACGUGUGGGAUUUUGUAUGUACCAUAUGAAUAAGGAUCGGCUAACUCCGUGCCAGCAGCCGCGGUAAUACGGAGGAUCCGAGCGUUAUCCGGAUUUAUUGGGUUUAAAGGGAGCGUAGGUGGAUUGUUAAGUCAGUCGUGAAAGUUUGCGGCUCAACCGUAAAAUUGCAGUUGAAACUGGCAGUCUUGAGUACAGUAGAGGUGGGCGGAAUUCGUGGUGUAGCGGUGAAAUGCUUAGAUAUCACGAAGAACUCCGAUUGCGAAGGCAGCUCACUGGACUGCAACUGACACUGAGGCUCGAAAGUGUGGGUAUCAAACAGGAUUAGAUACCCUGGUAGUCCACACAGUAAACGAUGAAUACUCGCUGUUUGCGAUAUACAGUAA
rnacentral:rRNA from 1 species